rnacentral:rRNA from 1 species
CACGUAGGGGGCAAGCGUUGUCCGGAUUUAUUGGGCGUAAAGAGCUCGUAGGUGGUUCGGUAAGUCGGGUGUUAAACCCCCAGGCUCAACCUGGGGACGCCACUCGAUACUGCUGUGACUAGAGUCCGGUAGGGGAGCGUGGAAUUCCUGGUGUAGCGGUGAAAUGCGCAGAUAUCAGGAGGAACACCAGCGGCGAAGGCGGCGCUCUGGGCCGGUACUGACACUGAGGAGCGUAAGCGUGGGUAGCAAACAGG